AGCGAACGCUGGCGGCAGGCCUAACACAUGCAAGUCGAGCGCCCGUAGCAAUACGGGAGCGGCAGACGGGAGAGUAACACGUGGGAACGUACCCUUCAGUUCGGAACAACCCAGGGAAACUUGGGCUAAUACCGAAUACGUCCGUAAGGAGAAAGAUUUAUCGCUGAAGGAUCGGCCCGCGUCUGAUUAGCUAGUUGGUG
rnacentral:rRNA from 1 species